rnacentral:lncRNA from 10 species
AGUCUCGCGCCUGCAGCCCGUGCCGCCCCAGCCGCUGCCGCCUGCACCGGACCCGGAGCCGUCAUGCCCAAGUGUCCCAAGUGCAACAAGGAGGUGUACUUCGGUGAGCGCGCCCACACCGGCCCCGCGAGGAGGCGCCGCCGACGGGGCGACGAGGCUGGGGACCGCUCAGGAGGACCGGGGGCGCUGGGUCCCUGGGGCGGCGCCCCAGCCUGAAAACGCCUCAGCCUGGCCCGCCGCCUGCCCCGGGAUGAGGGUGGAGGCCCCUGCGUCCGAGGGCCCUGGCGAUCUCUGCCUGCUAGUGGUCUUGCUGUGCUCGGCGGGCUACCUCUGGCUCUGAGCCUCCCCGUCUCUGGGUCCUACGGUCUCUGCCGUUUCCUCUCAGGCGCGCCCUGAGUGGGGGACCCGCAGGGCUGGAAGGAACGCGGGGCUGGGGCCGCGCCCCCCAGCGCUAAGUGGAAACAGACGCGGAAACCGACGCCCGGGGCGCGAUCCCGGGCGCCCGCCUCCCUGCCCCGCGCCCGCGCGCCCCGAGGGGAGGGAGGAAGUGGGAAGUCACCCCUGUCCCCGCCGAGAAGGGCUGUCGCAGGCUCCACCCUUGCCACCGCAGAGGCCCGGGGCUGAAAGCAGGCAGCCAGGCCCAGGCCCUGCUGACCUAAGCCGCGACCCCUGACCCUCGGCCUCGCCCUCUAGCCCCACCCAGCCUUCAGGAGCAAGAUUCCCGGCCGCACCCGAAAGUGCCCCGGGGACCAGCGACCCCGCGCUUUGUUUAGUUGUAUUGGCUCUGGGGAUUGGAGAUGUUCCCCUCAUGGAGGGUGCUGAGACCUUAGGGUGGGCUGCCAGGCUGGGCGGAUGCGGGCUAAGUGCACAGGGCCUUGGGCAGAGCUGGCUGCAAGAGGCGGGUACGCCAGUGGUGGGUAGGCGCCGCGUCCUGCAGCGUCUCACCGGGGCCUGUCUGUGCCUCUGCAGCCGAGAGGGUGACCUCUCUGGGCAAGGACUGGCAUCGGCCCUGCCUGAAGUGCGAGAAAUGUGGGAAGACGCUGACCUCUGGGGGCCACGCUGAGGUAGGUGGGACCCACCCUGGUGGCAGGGGCCAGGGGUGAUGGCACCCCCUCACGGCCCUUCUCUUUGCAGCACGAAGGCAAACCCUACUGCAACCACCCCUGCUACGCAGCCAUGUUUGGGCCUAAAGGUAUGCUCCCGUCAUCCCCACCCCACCCCACCCCACAGCCUCCUCCACCCCAGCCUGUUGACUUUUUCCACCUUCUCUGCAGGCUUUGGGCGGGGCGGAGCCGAGAGCCACACUUUCAAGUAAACCAGGUGGUGGAGACCCCAUCCUUGGCUGCUUGCAGGGCCACUGUCCAGGCAAAUGCCAGGCCUUGUCCCCAGAUGCCCAGGGCUCCCUUGUUGCCCCUAAUGCUCUCAGUAAACCUGAACACUUGG